GGGCUUCAUCACCUCACCUCUCUUUACACAUUGAAGAUCAAGAGUUGCCCUAAAGUUGAGUUCAUAUCAGAACAGGUGCUGCCCUCCUCCCGUGAAUACCAGGGGCUUCAUCACCUUACUUCUCUUACAAAUUUGAGUAUCAAGAGUUACCCUAAACUUGAGUCCAUAUCAGAACGGGCGCUGCCCUCCUCCCUUGAAUACCUUCAUCUCUGUAAACUGGAAUCUCUGGACUACAUUGGGCUUCAGCACCUCACCUCUCUUCACAAAUUGAAGAUCGGGAGUUGUCCUAAACUUGAAUCGUUGCAGUGGCUGCCUUCCUCCCUUGAAUUCCUUCAGUUAUGGGAUCAGCAAGACCGGGACUACAAGGAGCUUCGGCACCUCACCUCUCUUCGCAAAAUGCAGAUAAGGAGGAGCCUUAAGCUUGAGUCCUUUCAAGAAGGCACACUUCCCUCCUCCCUUGAAGACCUUGAAAUCUGGGAUUUGGAAGAUCUGGAAUUUAAGGGGUUUCGGCACCUCACCUCUCUUCGUGAAUUACAUAUCUGUAGUUCUCCUAAGCUCGAGUCCGUGCCAGGAGAGAAGCUGCCCUCCUCCCUUGUAUCUCUUCAAAUAUCAGGUCUGAUAAAUCUGAAAUCUGUAAUGGGGCUUCAGCACCUCACCUCUCUUCGCAAAUUGAUUAUCUCGGAUUGUCCUCAGCUCGAGUCCGUGCCAAGAGAAUGGCUGCCCCUUUUCCGAUAUGAUGAUAUUAGACGUUGUCCUAAACUUAAUUUGGUUAUAGGAGACGGUCUCACUAUACCAUUUUCCUAGUUUUGUACCCGCGCUCCGCGGCCGAGCGGUUAUUUCUUUUAAGUAAACAAAAAUUAAUAAAUAGGUUUUACAACGCAUUCUUUAAUAUACAAUAUUUUUCUAUCAUAAAUAGAAAUGUCUAUAUAUAUAUUUAGUAAUUAGAUCAAUAGUUGAUAAAGAGAUAAUUAAGAAUAAAAUAUUUAAUCUUACAAUAUAAAUAAUUAAUAUAUUUAGUUAUGUUUAACAAUUAUAUUUUCUAAAGUUUUUUUUAUAUAUAAAACAAUUAUAUGUGCCAAUAAAAGGUUAAAAAAAAAUCAUAUCCAAUGUAAAAUGAAGAAAAUUAAAAAAAAAAUAUGUCAAACUGUAUAAAUAUGGUAACAUUGUGACAAUAGACACAUGAUUGAGAUAAUUUUAUAUAAAGAAAAAUGAAAUAAAAAGCACAAAUACCAAUUCUAAAAAAGUUAAAUGUUGAAGGAUGAAAUUGAAAAAACACAAGGAUAUUUGAUUUCGCAACAUGGUUCAUGCACUAAGCCGUGUUUAAUAGCUUUGUUUUUUAGAAUAUAUUUUUUAUUUAAUCAAACAAUUAUCUAUGCAAAUAAAAGAUAAAAAAAAAUCACAAAUAAAAGCAAAUUGAAUCAAAUCAUGAAGUCAAUUAUAAAAUAACUCAAUGUUGAAUGAUGAAAUUAAAAAAAUAAUAAUUAAGAAAAACAAAAAAAAUAUGGGUCAACCCUUAUUAAUCCGUUAACAUUGCGACCAUUGGUACAUAAUUGUGAUAAUCCCAUAAAAAAUAUGAAGACCAACUUUUAGAAAAAUUAAAUGUUGAAGGAUGAAAUUAAUAUAUAUAUAUAUAUAUAUAUAUAUAUAUAUAUUAAAAAAUGACUAAAAAAACUACUAGAGUCAACCCAUGUUAACAUUUGAAAUUUGUAAUUGUGAUCUUGAGACCAAGACUACUCACGCAUCAGUCAAACCCAAAAAAACAACAAAGUAAAUUUCUCAAUAAAAAAAUGUUGAGGCAUGAAAAUUUCAAUAAAAAAACAACAUGAAAAAAAUAUGAAUAAACCAGGGUUAACUCGCUAACCUCACGACCAUGGAAACAUGAUCAGGAUAACCCUAAUGAAAAGAAAGUGAUAAAGAAAAGCACAAAGAAUAACACUAAAAAAAAUAAAAGUUGAGGGGUGAAAUUAAAAAAACAAAAAAAACCAAAGUCAACCGUUGUUAACUUUCAAAACUCAUGAUUAUGCUGUUGGGACUGACCAUAUAAAAGGCAAACCCAAAACAAAACAAUAUAGCAAAAUUCUCAGUGAAAAAAAGUUGAGGCUUGAAACUCAGUAAAAAAAAGCAACAAAAAAUAUAUGAGUCAACCCAAGUCACCCAUUUGACUAUGGGCAUGUGAUUUAGAUAAUCUUAUGGAAAGGAAAGCAAAAAAAAAAAAACAAUAAAACCAAUUUUAUAAAAAUUAAAUAUUGAAGAAUAAAAUUAAAAAAAUUAAUUUUAUAAAAAAGACUUGAAGAAACCAAAAUCAACCCGUGCAAACCUUUAAAAGUCAUGAUUCAAUAAUAAUAAAAAAAAAGAAGCUAAGUGAUGAAAUCAUUAAAAAAACAAUAAAAAAAAAUUAUUCAAAACAUAAUAAACAUAAGUAAAAAAAGAAUAGAGAUCAAAUUCAACACUAAAAAAAUAAAAAUCAAAUAAUGAGAAAUAAAAUCAAAACAAUAUCUAAUUAGAUUAAGGAUUAAAAAGUGUCAAAAAAAAGUGUCAAAUUUGAUCUAAAAAUAAAAUAAAGUAAAAUAAUUAGAGAUAAAUAGUAAUAAAUACUAUUUUUAUAAAAUAAAAAGAAAAAAAUAAAAAAAAAAAUAAAAAUCAAAACACAAUAUAUAACAAAAAAAAAGUAAUAUAAAUGUUUAUGUCACAUAACAACCAUUGGUUCCAAACAAAACCUGAAAAUAAAAAAACAAGACACCUGCCGUCAUUAGGUCCGGAUUUGCCUGAAAGGCAGAACUGCACAUGCAUUUUCCAUAGCAUGCCAAAGCCAAAUCAAUCUUACCCAUAGCGAGAAUUAAAACAAAACAAAAUAGUAACAACACCAAAAACAUCCUUUAUUCAUUGUUAAAGGUCUUCUGAAAUAAGAUUGGUUUCAAUGGCAAGUGGAAAUCAUAAAGAGAGCAACGAAAGGACAAAAAUCGAUCAAAAAACCCUUACUGAAAGAAUAAACAACACACCUUCGCCUCGUGUGUUCUCCAUCAAUUUGUUCAAGAGAAAAAGGACAAGAACUGUAGUAUCACCACCUCCAUCCUCUCUCAGUAGCUUCUUCUUCUCCAAUGUGCAUACCUUUUUGGUUCUCACAUGCCUCCUCUCCCUCUUCUGAAUCAUGACUACAAUUGAAGAAAACAACUCUAAUCCCACCUAAGAACAAUGCUCUAAUAUCAAAUUUGAUACGAGACAAAAAAGAUUGAAGUUGAAGAAGAAAGAAAAGAAGAAGAAGCCCGAAAAAGAAGAAAAAGCUGAUCAAAUACUAAAACCAUAACUAGAAUAAAUAAUUAAGUUUAUAAUCCACUAAAUAAAAUACUAAAAAAUAAUUAAAUCAAAUCCAACAAAUAAUAUCUAAUUAAUAAAUUUCAACUAAAAGUUCAAAUAAAUAAAAUUAAAACAUAAGCUAAAGCUUAAUCGCUUAAUGAUUUGGACUACCCUCUAUCAUUUAUGAUUAUAUGAAUACAUGUUUCGAGUCAGUAUCCCCACAUUUUUUUUGUUUUUGGUGGAAACAAAAAGAGGUGCAUAUGUUUUUGUUAGGAAAAAAAUUUCUUGCCCUAAAAUAAGAAAAAAAAGUUGCACCUAGAGGUGAUCAUUUUCGGUUCGGUUCAGUUUUUAUCAAAAAAGUAACCAAAUGUACUACAUACUUUUUACCGAUCGAACCAAAUGUACUAUAUUAUCAGUAGUUGUAGCUACUUCUGAAACAGUUGGUGCGAUGGGUGCGAGUGAAGGUGCUGGCAUAGGAGCGGCAACACUAGUCAUACCUUCCACUACUGCUUUGAGUAGCUGGGCUAGGAGCAUCAAAUCAACAUAAGAAACAAAUGGCCUUCCAAGUGUAGUCUGUGGGGGCUCCUCUGCUCGUUCCGGUAGGGUUGACACGGUCGGCUGAACAUCCCCAGCUUGCCUCGGUACUUGUCUGACUUGAGGCCCCGUCGAUUCUUCAUGCCUUGCUUGCUUCGAUACUGCUGGUGCAUGUCAAGCAGUAUCUUCUAAAAGGCUCUCUUCUCGUCCCUCGUAAAAGUCUAUAUCUCUGUUCCCCUUCCCUAUAGAGGAUAGAUUUGUUCUAAUCUCUUGGCGAGUACGUACCAUCCUGCAAUAAAUUAAUAACAUCAUUACCCUUUGUUUCGAGUUUUUCCCAAAAUCCAUACGAGGGCUCUAAUACCAACUAUAACAAUCCCACCUUUUCAAUUUCGUCAACACUAAAAGAUCCCAAUAUAUACUCUUAAUUUGAGGGUAAAUUGUUUUUUUUCUUAUAUAUAUAUAUAUAUAUAUAUGAAAGUCUACCGAUAUUUUCACUGAAAUUUUGGCAAAGUUCCCUUUGUAUUUAGAACGUCCCAAGUUAUCGACUUCUUUCAAUUUACCCAUUCAAGCCAUCAAAACAAGGUCCCAUAAUUUUGAACUUUAUUUUACAUCAUUAAUACUCAACUCCUCAUACAAUUCAUGCACACAAUUUAUACACACACACACACACACACACACACCCUACGAAUAAGAUCAAUAUAAAUAUAGCCCAUAUAUCGUAUAAUAAAGUCUAGAAGAAAAAGGGAUACUAACAUGUAAUGAGAGAAUUUAAAACAUAACAUCAGUAUUCUUAAAAGUUUCAAAGGGUUAAAAACAAAGUAGCUAAGGAGUUCUUACUCAUACAUUAUAUCAAAGUUUACAUAAUUAACAUACUAUAUGCCGAGCCAAUAGUUUUGUAUACAUCAAGGUUUACACAAAAGCAUAUUGCGUAACCUAGCUAAUACUAUUAUGCUUGAGCUAAAUGUUUUUACAUAAGUUUAGCAAAGCAGAGUCCUAAAAACUAAUGAGCUCCCUGAGUAUUAGAUGGACCUGUUACAAUAACAACUUAAUAAGCAUACAAUUAUAUUGUCAACAGAAACAAAAAUGAUCAUAUAAUGAAUACAAAUAAAGCAUAAGUUUUCUAUUAGUUUCCCAAUAAUUUUAAUAAUCAACUUAUAAAUUCUUUCAUAUAUAUUUAAAAACUCAAUUAGACAUCAUUUACGUAUUCUUAAUUGAAUACUCUUAUUUUCUUGUAUGAACCUAGUACCUUUGCCUAAUUGGUUUUACUAAAUCUUUAACUUUGCAUAGUUCCACUUGGAUAGUUUAGGUAAUUAUACUUAUCAAUUCUCUCAGGUCAUCCAAACAUGGAUACCUUUUCCGAAUCGAGCCUUAUCGAUCAUUCCCAGGCAUCCUGACAUGGACGUCAUUAGCUGAAGCGAAUCUUGUAAUUCACUUCCCAGCAAUCCUAUCACGGAUGCCAUUAGCCUAAGAUAAUCUUGAGAUUCAUUUCCCGACAAUCCUAUUACGAAUGCAAUUAGCCGAAGCUAAUCUUGUAAUUCAUUUCCCGGUAAUCCUAUCAUGGAUGCUAUUAGCCGAAGCUAAUCUUGUUAAUACACCGGACUUUGUUUACAUUAAACAUAACUUAAUUGUCAUUGUCUUCAUCGGGAAGACUUUAAAUUACAUAAGAGUAAAGGAGAGGUAAAACCACGCACCUUCUCCGCCUGUCUCGUGACCUCCUUCAACAAAAGAUCCAAUCCUAGUCGCUCCGCCUAAAUCACAAAGAAGUCUUUGGUCAUGUUUCCUUUAAGCUAAAUGUUUAAGGAAAUCCAUAUUCAUUCAUUAUACAUAUGGUACUUUCCAUGCAUGUUCAUUUCCUCAUCAUAACAUACAUAUACAUAUCAAGUAUAUAUUUUCAAGGUUUUAUAUCAACGUGCAAGUGCCCCUACGACUAAGUUUGUUUUUGCAUCAACGUAAAUUAGUGACUUAUGACUCAUAACUGGAGUCUCAUAACUUUAAAUAAAGCAAACUUUGGUCAAUAAAAAGGUAACACAUUUAUCCAUAAUUUCAUUAAGGAUCAUGCAUGAAACUCUGUCAAUAUCAAAUCACAAACCAAAAAAGAAGUUAGACAGCAAAUUUGUCCAGCAGCUUCUAGCCUAACCUCCUCUCAGUAUUUUGCCUAUAUAUGGAGUUCUAUAACUCCUAAUAAAGUGAACUUUAUACCAAUUAAAAGGUAACACAUUUAUAUAUAACUACAUGGAGGAAAAUGCAUCAUACUCUAUCAAUAUAAAAUCCCAAACCGAACAAGAAGUUAGACAGCAAAUCUGUCCAGCAGCUUCCAGCCUAGCCUCCUCUAAGUAUUUUGCUUAUAUAUGGAGUUCUAUAACUCUAAAUAAAGUGAAAUUUAUGUCAAUUGAAAGGUAACACAUUUAUAAAUAUCCACAUGAAGGAAAAUGCAUGAUACUCUGUCAAUAUCAAAUCCCAAACUAAACAAGAAGUUAGACAGCAAAUCUAUCCAGCAGCUUCCAACCUAACCUUCUCUUAGUAUUUUGCUUGUAUAUGGAGUUUUAUAACUCUAAAUAAAGUGAAAUUUAUGUCAAUUGAAAGGUAAUACAUUUAUAGAUAUCCACAUAAAGGAAAAUGCAUGAUACUCUGUCAAUAUCAAAUCCCAAACUGAACAAGAAGUUAGACAACAAAUCUAUCCAGCAGCUUUCAGCCUAACCUCCACUUAGUAUUUUUCCUGUAUAUAGAGUUCUAUAACUCCAAAUAAAGUGAAAUUUAUGUCAAUUGAAAGGUAACACAUUUAUAGAUAUCCAUAUGAAGGAAAAUGCAUGAUACUCUAUCAAUAUCAAAUCCCAAACUGAACAAGAAGUUAGAUAGAAAAUCUAUCCAGCAGCUUCCAGCCUAACCUCCUUUUAGUAUUUUGCCUGUAUAUGGAGUUCUAUAACUCCAAAUAAAUGAAAUUUAUGUCAAUUGAAAGGUAAGACAUUUAUAGGUAUCCACAUGAAGGAAAAUACAUGAUACCAUGUCAAUAUCAAAUCCCAAACUGAACAAGAAGUUAGACAACAAAUCUAUCCAGUAGCUUCCAGCCUAACCUUGUCUUAGUAUUUUGCCUGUAUAUGGAGUUCUAUAACUCCAAAUAAAGUGAAAUUUAUGUCAAUUGAAAGGUAAUACGUUUAUAGAUAUCCACAUGAAGGAAAAUGCAUGAUACUUUGUCAAUAUCAAAUCCCAAACUGAAUAAAAAGUUAGAUAGAAAAUCUAUCCAGCAGCUUCCAGCCUAACCUCCUCUUAGUAUUUUGCCUGUAUAUGGAGUUCUAUAACUCCAAACAAAGUGAGAUUUAUGUCAAUUGAAAGGUAACACAUUUAUAGAUAUCCACAUGAAGGAAAAUUCAUGAUACUCUGUCAAUAUCAAAUCCCAAACCAAACAAGAAGUUAGACAACAAAUCUGUCCAGCAGCUUAACCUCCUCUCGGUAGUUUGCCUAUAUAUGGAGUUCUAUAAUUCCAAAUGAGGUAAGACCAGUGCCAAAAGUUAGCUAACUCAUUUAUCUACAACUUUCAUAUGUAAUGUUAUAACAAUUUCAAUCGACUUCUAUGCCUAACAUUAGCAUAAUUUCUAUACUUACAUAUUUGUAAUGGAAGUAACAUACAAACAUGUUUAAGUUUCUGUUUCAGCCCUUGAUUUAGCCUUAGGAUAACUAUGUAAGGUCAUAAUUAGCAGAGAUUAGUAUCAAAUUUCUAUUCUCUUUCUUUCUACUUUCAUGGUCGUCCCUAAAGAGGAUUUGUUCCACUAAUUUCUAUCAUUUUCUUUUGUCAUAGAAGCUGAAAAUGUUUAACUUCUCAUCUCAACCUUUUAAUUUCAUCAUUUGUUUUUUUUUUGUCAAAAUCAUGAAGUUCUAGGAACCCUAAAUUAUUUAUAUUGGGGUUUUUUCCCCCUUUGGAUUCAAAACAAAUCAAAUUAACAAUAGAAUAGCAAGGGCUUAUCCUUACCUCACGAUUUUAUCUAAAGAUGGAAGGUGUUUUCUUGAUGGUUUUCUUCUUCUCCUCUUUAUCACUGUUUCAGCCGGCCCUUGUGCCCUCCAAACCUCAAGAUUUUAUGGAUCUACACUUCCUAAUUACUCUCCUCUCUCACGUAGGUUCAUGCAAGGUGUUUUGGGUGAGAAAUGUGUGCAAUAAAAGGGAGCCAAUCUUCUCUCUUCAACUUGUUCUAAUUGAAAGUGAGAGGAAAGGUCAGGAAUUCUUUUUUUUUUUUUAAUGUAUUUAUACUCCCUUAUAUAUGCCUUAGGUCUUGUUUGGUAGUUUGGUCAAAUUUGUUCCUAACAUUACUUUUCUCCUUGUUGUGUGCUUUAGUUCUUCAUUUCACAAUUUGUUUAACAUCUCUCCCUCAUCCUUCCCUUCACACAUUUUAAUCCUUAGACAUUUGUUAGUUUUUAUACCCAUAUUUUUGUAAAAUAUUUGACUUCGUAAUUUAUUUUCUUAUUUUGAAUUCACCCUAUAAGUAUUGAAACAUUUUUAUUUUCUAAAAAUUUCAACUUGGGGUUUACAUAACCUUUAAGAAGAAGUGAAAAGAAAAGGUUGAAGCAGACAUCAUGAUUAUCCAAAAUGCAAUAUUUGAUCCCUGGUCCCAACAACAAAUCCAUAGUUAUCACAAAGAUCUAGUCCAUUUCUUUUGCCUUCCUUCUCUUACUUUUCUAGCUAUUUUUUCCUACUUUCUACUAUCCAUUCUAGAGCUUCAGAUUCUUAUAUUGUACAUAGAAUUUGAGUCUAGUUUUUUAACAGUUCAUAAACCUCGAUCCAUCAUACAAUUUCUCAAGAUGAUGCUGUUAUAAUUUAAAAAAACUAUUUAUAGAAGAUUUAUCUUCAAGGACAAGAGUUGAAUCCUUAAUAGCACAUUUAUACUCCCUACUUUUCAUCUAAAUUUCUUUAACAAGUAAGUCAUAUUUACUUUGUCAUUAUAUUUAUGUCAUCUAGAUUAAUACUAGUUAGAUGGUCUGCGCUAUACCGUGAGCCAACGUUUUAUUUUCAUAAAAAAUAUCAAAAAAAUAUAAGACCCAAGAGCGUUGAGUCUAACUGUAACACUGGAUCUAAAAGCAUUGAGUCUGACUGUAACACUAGAUCUAAAAGUAUUGAGUCUGGUUGCAACACCAAACUCAACAAUAAUAUUUAUAAUAUAAAUAAUAAUAUUUAACUUGUCUGCCUAUAUUGUUAUAUUUUUAAAUCUUUAAAAAAAAAUUAUGAUUUUUCUUCAAUAGUAAUAAUAGUAUUAUUUUAAAUUUAUUAAUAAUAAUGAUAAUAAUAAUAAUAAUAAUUUUUAAUUUUACCUUUUAAAUCAAAUCUAUGGUGGUUUUUCAAUAUUGAUAAUAAUGUUUUUCAAAUUUAUUAAUAAUAUUAAUUAUAAUAAAAAUAAUAACAUUUAUAAUACAAAUAAUAAUAUUUUUAAUAUUAAUACUAUUAAUUAUAAUAAAAAUAAUAAUAUUUAUAACACAAAUAAUAAUAUUUUUAUAAUAAUAUUUUUAAGUAUAAUAAAAAUAACAAUAUUUAUAACACAAAUAAUAAUAUUUAGAAACCUAAAACACAUUAGUGUUGGAACUUGACGCCGGACCCAAGAGAAUUAGAUCCUAACACAGGUCUUAGGAGAAUUGGGUUCUAAAACAAGACCCAUUACCCUUGGAUCCUGAUGCUGGCCCCAAGAGAAUUGGGUUGUAAUGCAAGUGAGUUGGGUCCUAACGCAUGACCCAUCAGCCUUGAGUUUUGAAGCCGAACCCAAGAUAAUUGGGUCCUGAUGCAAUUCCCAAGAGAGUUAGGUCCUGACGUCGGACUGAAGAGAAUUAAGUCCUGACGCAGGACCCACUACUUAUGGGUCCAAACGCUGGAUCCAAGUGUAAACCCCAAUUGAAAAUUAGUCUGAAAAGCAAUUUAAAUGCUUAUAGAAUAGAUUUAUCAGAAGUACCAAAUAAGCAUUAGAACAAACCAUGUAAAAUAAAAAACAGAAAAGUGAAUAAAAUAUUACUAAGAGUGAAUUACCUAGAAAUAAAAUUAUCAAUAUGUAACUAAAUGAAAAUCGAAUUCACCCGGAUAAAAAGUUUAUACAGAGAAAUACUAGGAUCCAAGAAUUUUAUCUCAUGAACAAGAAAUUUACUAUUUAGGAUAUAGAGGGAAUUUGGUAAAAAGUUUAUAUAUAUAUAUAUAUAAGUGUGCAUGUGUGUGGGCAAGAAGAAAAAAGAGAGAAAAAGAAAUAGAGAGAAAUAGGGGAAACUAUCAUUUACAUGUGAGAGAGAAAACAAAAUGAUAAAAACAUAAAAUCUUAAGAGGAGAUCUUGAGGGAACAUUAACCAAACUUAGUGAGCAUUAAUUGGAAGGAAGAAAAACCUAGAAAAAAAGGAGGGAAGUUCAACCAAGAUUAAAGAAAAGAGGAGUUGGAAGCUUGAAUUGGGUAGUGUUUAGAGUCUUAUUAUUUGCUUGGUAGGGCAUUCUAAAGACUUUUAAUUUGAUUUUUAAUGGCUUAAAGUCUUUAAUUGAUUGAAUUUUUGAAAUUUGGAAAGUUAGGGUUCUUGAAUGAAUUUGGAAGAAAUAAAACUUUACUGUAAAUUAUCAUGGGGAAUAAUGUGAAAGUUAGAGUAAAGUAAUUAAAUUAUUGUAGUUGAAGUAAAAAAUUUUGAUAAUUAAAUAGGGCUAGUGGUUAACCAAUGAUGAGAGUUUUUCAAUCUUAUUUUAUGCUACUCUGUUAGUGCUUUAUACUCCAUGAUGUGAAUUGAUGAACAAUGUAGGCAAUAGAACUAUUUUUUUGAAUAUCUCUUUACAACUUCUUAAAUUUCAUGGAGAUGUCUGAUGAGGAAUAUAGUUGAUUGUUGGUCCUUAUUAGAUUUUGUAUGUAAUGGAGUUAUGAGACGUUAAUAAUUCAUUAGAGAUGUUAAUUUGAUGGCUAAAAUCCAUGAAAUUCAACGGGACUAUUACAAAAGGUGAGAUAUUUAAGACAGUAACAAAUCAAACAUUAACAGUUGAGGUUUAAGACAGUAACAGAUCAAAUAGUAACGGUUGAGGUCUAAGACAGUAACAGAUCAAAUAGUAAUAGUUGAGGUCUAAAACAGUAACAGAUCAAACAUUAACAGUUGAGGUCUAAGACAGUAACAGAUCAAAUAGUAAUAGUUGAGAUCUAAAACAGUAACAGAUCAAGCAAUAACAGUUGAGGUGUAAGACAGUAACAGAUCAAGUAGUAAUGGUUGAGGUCUAAGACAGUAACAGAUCAAACAUAUAUAUAUAUAUAUAUAUAUAUAUAUAUAUAUAUAUAUAUAUAUAUAUAUAUGAGAACUGAGUUGUGUGGACACUUGCACGUUGAGAUACUGACUCUGAAAAUAUAUAUGAUAUGUGUAUAUAUGUUAUGAUGAAGAAAUAAACAUGCAUAAAAAGUAACAUAUGUGUAAUGAAUGAAUAUGGAUUCAGGAGGAGUGACCAUGAUUGGAUCUUCUGUUGGGGGAGGUCACGAGACAGGCGAAGCAGGUGCGUGAUUUUCCCUCCUCUUUGCACUUAUGCAAUUUAAAUAUAUUUUUUUGGUGAAUGCAAUUACAAUAAAUGUCAUGUUCAAUGUAAAUAAAAUCUAGCAUAUUUACAAAAUUAGCUUCGGCUAAUAGCAUCUGUGAUAGAAUUGCUAGGAGAUGAACUACAAGAUUAACUUUGACUAAUGUUGUCCGCGUUGGGACGCCCGAGAACGAUUGAUAAGACUCGAUUUGUAAAGGGUAUCCGUGUUUGAAUGAUCUAGGGGAAAUUGAUAAAUAUAAUUGCCUAAAAAUGUCUAAGUUGGACUAUACAAAGUCACCCGGUUCAUGCAAGUAAAUAAGAGUAUUUAAAUUAAGGAUAUGCAAAUGAGUUUUAAUUGGGUUUAAAUGAUUUACAAGCAAAUUAUAAGUUGAUUGUUAGAAUUCCUAUGGAUUCGAUAGAAAAUUUAUACUUCAUUCGUAUACAUUACAUGAUCAUAUAUAUUUCUUUUAUCAACAUAAUGGUAUGCUUACUUAGUUGUUUGUGUAACAUGUCCAUCAACUGUCCAGGGAGAUCAUUAGUUUGGGACUCCACUUUGUUAAGCUUAUGUAAAUAUUUAACUUAAGCAUAAGGGAAUUAACAUGAUUAUACAAUAUGUUUUUGUGUAAAUCUUGAUGUAUAUAUAAAAGUCUUAGCUCAACAUAUAGUACAUUAGUUAUCUUGUAAUUAACUCUUUUGAAAUGUUUAAAAAUACUUAUUAUAUUUUAAAUUUUCUCUUUACAUGUUAGUAUCCCUUUUUCCUUUUAAAUAUUAUAAUAUGAUUUGUGGGAUAUAUAUAUAUAUAUAUAUAUAUAUAUAUAUAUAUAUAUAUAUAUAUAUAUAUAUAUAUAUAUUGUGUGGAUUGUAUGAGGUGUUGAAUAUUGAUGAUUGAAAUAAAGUCUGAAAUUAUAGGACCUUAUGAUGAUGGGUUGAUUGAGUAAAUUGAUAGUAGUCGAUAACUUGGGAUAUCCUAAAUACAAACGAAACUCUACCAAAAUUUUGGUAGAAAUCUUUACAAAAACAAUUACCCUCAAAUUAAGAGCAUAUGAUGGGGUCUUUUAGCGUUGAUCAAAUUGUACAGUUGAGUCUGUUACAGUUGGUAUUAGAGCCCUGGUAUGGAUUCUAGGAAGAAUUCAAAAGAGGUUAUUGAUGUUUGUUAAUUUAUUGCAGGAUGGUACGUACCCACCAAGAGAUUAGAUCAGAUCUAUCUUCAACAGGGAGGGGGAAUAAAGAUAUAGACUUUUACGUUGGGCAAGAAGAGAACCUUUUGAAAGAUACUGCUUCACAUGCACCAGCAGUAUCGACUAAAGCAGGGCAUGAAGAAUCGAUGGGGCCUCAAGUCCGACAGGCACCAAGACAAAGGACCCAUUAGCCUUGGAUCCUAAUGCCGAACUUAAGAGAAUUAGGUUCUGAUAGAGGACCCAUUACAUUUGGGUCCUAACGUCAGAUCCAAGAAAAUUGAGUGUUGACGCAAGACCCAUUAGCUUUGGAUCUUGACACUGAACCAAAGAGAAUUGAGUUCUGACACGGGACCCAUUAGCUUAUGGUUCUAAUGCAGGACUCAAGAGAGUUUGAUCCUAACACCAAAUCCAAGAGAAUUGGGUGUUAACGCCGAAUCCAAGAGAAUUGGGUUAUGACACAGGACUCAUUAGCUUGGGUCUGGACACGGAUACAUUACCAAUGGGUCUAGACGCCGGACACAACAACCUUUGGUACGAUACGAACCCCAGAGUGGGCUAGAUAGGGCUGCAAGACCCAAGUGAUUUGGGUCUGCUCUUUUGCCAAACCCAAGUAACUUGGGUGAGGCACCCCUUUCCAGCCCCAGGAUUUUUAGGUCUGGAAAGGGAUGCCUAACCCAAGUUAAUAACAAUAAUAUUAUAUUUUACCUUUAAAAUCAAAUUUAUGUUUUUUUAUAGUAAUAAUAUUUAUUUUAAUUUUAAUAAUAUUAAUUAAUUGAAUAAUAUUUAUAAUAAUAUUUAACUUAUCUGUCAAAGUUCUUAUAUUUUUUAAUCUCUUAAAAAAAACAUUAUAGUUUUUUUUCGAUGAUAAUAAUAUUUUUUUAAAAUUUACUAAUGAUAACAACAACAACAACAAUAAUAUUUAAUUUUACAUUUUAAAUCAAAUCUAUUAUUAUUUUUUAAUAAUAGUUUUUAUAAAUUUAUUAAUUAUUAUAUUAAUAAUAAUCAAAAUAAUAAGAUGUUAUGUGGGAGGGUCUGCACCCAUCACGGUUCUGGAGACCCAGGUAAUAUCACAUUAAUAGUGAAAGAUCUACUCAACCAUGAUUUUAAAAGUUUUCCUUGACGAACAUGCGACGUUUUUUAGCCAAGAAAAUACGAUGUCGUAGGGCAAUCUUUAAAAAUUAUUUUUAUUUAAUUCUGUGGUAAUUAAGAUAAAUACGUGUAGGAAUUCUGAUAAUUUAAAUUAUGGAGAAUAAACUUAUUCAUUGUUCAAUAAACACUGUGAUUUGUGAGUGUAUGCACAGUGUUGUUUUAUGUACAGAAAGAAAAGGGAGCCAUGUUUUAGUUUAUAGUGUUAGUGUUACUAUUUCAUGAGAAGCUAAUCCUGUAUUAGUUUUUGGUAGUUCAGAAAUUAAUGUGAUUUACUUAGCUAAUCCAGUUCCCAUGAGAAGCAAAAGAUCCUGUAUAAAGUUUUCUAUAAUGACAUUUUGUAUUUAAUUUUUUUGUUUUAAAAGAAGUUAAAUUUUUAUAAUUUUUUUCAAAAUAAUUUUUUAUUUUUUUAUAUUAUUUGAAUAUGCUGAUUUUAAAACUAAAUUCUAAAUAAUAAUAAAAAAUUAUUUAAAUAUAUUUUUAAAAAACAACUGAAUUUUUGCAGAAAACCCAGCUAUAAAUUAACAUCUUUAGCCCGUGACGGUAACCGGCAGUUCUACCCAUGACGGUGGCGGUGAGUCCUCCCAAUUGUACAUGUCGGAUCCUUCUUGCCCGGGACGGUGAUGGGCAAUCCCGCCUGUCAUUUCAGUGUGGCCCCAGGUGAAAUGAUUUUAAAAUAUAAAAAAAUUAGCUUUUAAUAAUUAAAUAAUUUUAAUUUAAAUUGAGGAAAAAAGACUUCUUAACAAAAUAAAACUUACGAUAUUACAGUAACAAACAUGCUAAAAAACAUCUUCUUUUUCAAAGCAUGCAACUACAGGACCAGCCAUAUUAAGCUGCUUGUGAUAUUACUCCUCAUACAACCAAAUCAAUCCAUAACCUACGAGAUUUAUUGCAACUCUUGCUUACUUUUCAAUUCCAUAACCUAUGCUUGCUUUCAAAUAUAUAUAUAUACUAACUUUGAACGACAAACAUGUUUGUAAAUUAAGAGUGAAAGGAAAGUUGAAAAUCACAGGGAGAGCCUUAUAUAUAUAUAUAUAUAUUACUCCUCAUAGAAUUUCAUGAAGCAUUGAGGUUCUGGGCGAGAAGUUGACCACUCCUGAUAUUCUGGGCUUCUUCAAAAGCCACAAGCUCAAUGAUCGAUGGUCUUCUGGGAAAGUUGAAAGAAACACUGAAUACCCUCAACGGACUUCUCGACGACGCGGAGGAGAAGUAGAUUACCAAGCCUGCUGUGCAGAAGUGGCUUAAUGAUGCUAGACAUGCUGUGUAUGAAGCUGAGGACUUAAUGGAGGUGAUUGAAUAUCAACAUCUACGAUCCAAGGAUAUUAAAGCUGCCUCUCGACGAGUUAGGAAUCGGGUAAGCAUAUGGUUUUGCUCUUGUAGACCUUGCUUUCUCGUAUAAUGUUAUUAUCGAUCCCUCUGAUUUUUACAAGCACAAUUCGAAAUUGUAAGAUAUCAGAAAAUUUCAUAUCUUUUCUUGAAAUAUUUCAUGCAAACAACACCCCUCAAUUAUGCUAAUUUAUCUCAUGCAACCAAUCCUAUGAUACUAUCCUGCAACCACUACUCAUUAUUAUUCCAACAAAUUCCAACCACUUUUUAAUAGCCCAGCCUGGCCAAGCUGUCAACUUAAUUAAAACAUGUUCAAUCUAGAAUUUGAAUUAAAUUGUUUUUUUUAAAACAAAAAUCAAAGUUGACCCAUUAAUUUUUAAAAAAACAUUAGCACUAAAUGUUAAAUAUUGGUGUCAUAACACCUUUGAAAAAAAAAUUAGUGGAAUAGCUUAUUUUCACAUUUUUAAUAGCAAUAUUUAGUAAAUAUUAUUUUUUUGAAGUGCAACAAAGUGAAAGUCCAAUUAUUUGACUUAAUUAGUUAGUUGAUUGAAUUUAAUUGUAUUAACUAGUCGAUUAUUUCACAUAAAAACCAUAAUUUUAUGAAUUUUUUCUUUCAAAUAUAAAUUAUGAGUCAAAAUAUACAUGUGUCUAACAUCUAGACUAAAAAAUAGAUUUCAAUUAAAGUUUUAAAAAAAUUAUUAUUUACAUAGUAGUUGUUAUCUAUUUUUCAAUGUCAAUUAAUGAUGUAGAAAAGCUUGUGACAGUAAGUGAUUCUAAGUUGUCAGAUGUUUGUUUAUCAUAACUAUAUAAGGAUUGUCCUAAAUAAAUUAAAUGUAUGACCUAACAAAUAUAUUUAUAGACCAAUAAAAUAGUUUGAAGCUUAAGAGGAGAUUUGAUCCCACAAAGCCAGAAUAAUAAGAAAAAAAACCAUAAUUUUUUAUUUGACUAUUGAAUUGCACUCAAAUUUUUAUAGGAGUUUUUAAAAACCACAUUCUCUAUUGUAGUCACUGCAUUGCUAUGUAGACUGUUAAAUCUUUAGAUAUAAAAAAUCUCGUCAAAACCCCUUGAUUUUGGUAUUUUUAAGAUUUUUAUUAUUAUUUUCGGAAUUAAUUGACUAAUUUCAUUAACUAUUAUGAACAAGUCAAUUAAUUAAGUCAAAUGAUUAAAAUUUUACCUUAUCAGAACCUUAUUAGAAACAUAACAUUUAUUAAAUGUCACUAUUCGAAAAAACGACAAUUAUUUUGUGAUGCUUAGGAAUAGUAACAUUUAAUAAAGUUUCCAUUUCUAAAUCCAGCUAGUAGAAGGAUGAAAGAGAUGGGAGCAGAGUUACAAAAGAUCCAUGAGAAGCUUGAACGUUUUACUUAUACACAAGGGUGAUCUGCGCCAUAUAGAAGUUACUGGUGGACGCAGACCAUUGUCAGAGAAAACAACUCCACUGGUUAAUGAAUCUAAUGUAUAUGGAAGGGACGCUGAUAAGGAAGCCAUAAUGGAGCACUUGUUGACACAACACACCACAGAUGGCUCAAAUUUACGUGCGGUCCCUAUUGUGGGCAUGGGCGGGAUUGGUAAAACCACUCUUGCUCUGCUUAUCUACAAAGACGAAAGGGUACAGCAACGCUUCCAACUCAAGGCCUGGGUCUGGGCUUCUCAACAAUUUGAUGUUGCCAGGAUUAUUAAGGAUAUUCUUGAUCAACGCAAGAACUUGCCGCACCAAAGAACCAGAUGAAUCUCUAAUGGAGGCAGCGAAAGGGAAAAAACUUCUUCUUGUUCUAGAUGACGCGUGGAACAUCGAGUACAAUGAAUGGGAUAAACUACUGCUACCUUUGCGGUAUGUGGAGCAAGGAAGUAAGAUUGUCGUGACAACACGGGAUCAAGAUGUAGCAAAAGUCACGCAAACUGUCAUCACCCCUCACUGCUUGAAAGGAAUAAGCGAUGAAUAUUGCUGGAAGUUGUUUGCAAGGGAUGCAUUUAGUGGUCUAAAUUCUGAAGCAGUCUCACACUUGGAAGCAUUUGGCAGAAAAAUAGUGAGAAAGUGCAAAUGUUUGCCGCUGGCAGCGAAAACUCUUGGUGGUCUUUUGCACUCCGUAGAAGAUGUCAAGCAAUGGGAGAAGAUAUCCAAUAGCAGUUUGUGGGGUUCGUCGAAUGAAAACAUCCCUCCAGCUUUAAAAUUGAGCUAUUAUUAUCUCCCUUCACACCUGAAACGUUGUUUUGCUUAUUGUGCAAUAUUUCUCAAAGGUUAUGUAUUCAAGAAGGAUGGAUUAAUCACUGAAUGGAUGGCACAUGGUUUUUUAUUCCAGCCAGAGGUGUUGAGGAGAUGGAAGAUAUAGGUGAAAAAUACUUUGAUGAUCUUGUCUCCAGGUCAUUUUUCCGGCAAUCACUUUAUGCUCCAUCAUAUUUCAGCAUGCAUGACAUCAUAAGUGAUUUAGUUGAAUACGUGUCAGGAGAAUUUUGCUUUAAGCUUGGUAUUAAUGAAUCGGGAUCUGGGUUGGAGGGUGAACAUUCAUGCUCGCUUCCAGAAAGGACUCGUUAUUUAUCAAUCACUUCAGCGGCAGUUCGGACAUUUCGUAGCAUUCAUGGAGUCCAACAUUUGCGCGCCUUGUUUCCACUAUAUAUUUUCGGGGAAGAUGAUAGUGAGGCACUGAAUGACAUCUGGCUAAAUCUUAAGCGCUUGCGAAGGCUAUCUUUAUGUCAUCUAAAAGAUAUUUCUUCUCAGUUGCUCAAUUCCAUUGGCAACUUAAAACAUUUGCGGCACUUGGACCUUUCUCGCACCGCCAUUAAAAGGUUACCUAAAAGUGUGUGCACUUUGUACUAUUUGCAAAGCUUAUUGUUAAAGAAGAGCCGACAUCUCAUGCAGUUGCCAUCCAACCUUUUCAACUUGGUCGCCUUACAACAUCUUGAUAUUGAGGGGACAAAUCUGAAAAAGAUGCCACCGAAAAUGGGGAAACUCACAAGGCUUCGAACUUUGCAAUAUUACGUAGUGGGAAAAGAGAGGGGGUCUAGCAUGAAAGAGCUGGGGAAGCUCUCACAUUUAAGGAAAAAACUUUCUAUUCGGAAUCUCAGAGAUGUUGCAAAUGCUCAAGAUGCUUUGGAUGCCAAUUUGAAGGGUAAGAAGAAGAUUGAGGAGUUGAGGUUGAUAUGGGAUGGCAAUACAGAUGACACCCAACAGGAGAGAGAAGUACUUGAGAAAUUGGAGCCUUCUGAAAUUGUGAAACAGCUUGCCAUUAAGGGUUACGGGGGUACAAUGUUUCCAGACUGGCUUGGAAACUCUUCUUUCUUAAAUAUGGUAGCGUUGACUCUUUCUGGAUGUAAGAACUGCAUCUCCUUACCACCAUUGGGGCAGCUGCCAUCUCUUGAAGAGCUCCAUAUUGAAGGAUUUGAUGAUGUCGUGGCAGUUAGUUCUGAGUUCUAUGGAAGCGACCCUUCGAUGGAGAAGCCAUUUAAAUCCCUCAAAAUAUUAAAGUUUGAGGGGAUGCGAAACUGGCAGGAAUGGAAAACAGAUGUAGCUGGUGCUUUCCCUCAUCUUGCAAAUCUCUUGAUAGCAGGUUGUCCCGAGUUAACAAAUGGCUUGCCUAAUUACCUUCCUUCUUUAUUGAUACUUGAGAUUCAAGCGUGUCCACAGCUUGUGGUUUCAAUUCCAGAGGCUCCCCUGCUCACCGAAAUCAAUGUAAAAGUCACUAAAACUUUCAUCCCCUCUCACCGCUGGAAUGCACUAAGCGAUGAAGAUUGCUAGCAGGUUCUUCUUGCAAGGUAUGCAUUUUAGGGAGAGGAUAUCCAAUAGCAGUAUGUUACUAAAAAAAUAUUUUUAAACUGUAUAUAUAUAUUUUUUAAAAUACACUAGGUAUAUUAAGUUUGUAAAGCAAUGGGAGGAGAUAUAUUAAGUUACUAAAACAAGGUGUUUAUCAUUUUGUUUGGUUGUCCAUAAGGUUUUGUUACGCAACUAUAUAAAAAUAAAAAUCAUAAUUUGUCGACAUUACGGCACAGAAUUGUGAAAUUCAUCCUCUCUUGCCAUCGAAACCUGAGAGUGUUUUGACUUUUGGAGUGGAGGGCAGAAAUAAAAUUGUAGUUAUAUUAAGUUAUAAAAAAAAUAGUUUUAAACUGUAUUUAAAAAAAAUACAUUAGGUAUAUUAAGUUACUAAAUUUUUUUAUUAAACUGUAUUUUUUUUUAAAAUACAUUAGGUAUAUUAAGUUUGUCAAGCAAUGAGAGAAGAUAUAUUAAGUUACUAAAAAAAUAUGUUUAUCACUUUAUUUUUAUUUCUCGUAAAAGUCGGUUACGCAAUCGAAUCGGGGAUGAUUGGUUGAAUGAUUGUUUGGUUACUUAUAUCGAAAAAAAUAUAUUUGAAAGUGUUGAUAAUGGAAAGAUUCUAUAACGUUUUCAGCAUAUGAAGUCUUGCAGGGAUUUCACGGAGCAUCUUUUUAUAAUAUAUGUGAAUUUUUAAAUUUUAUAUUAGAAGCUUAAAAUUUUUAGAUUUUUUAGAUCUUAAUUAAUUUAGUUAUAUUAUUUUGCUAUCUAUGAAAACUCGAUCUGGAUCCGUCCUUUAUCAAAUGAAGUAUAUAUCAUGUUGAAACCGGUAAUGAGUUUCGAUUGAUAGAAGAAUCAGGAAAAAAAAAUUAAAAUAGAUGUGCUUUGAGAGUGAUAAAAUAAUUUCAAGGAAUCAUAGUAAAAUAACUUAUAUGGUUCUAGCAAUAUUGAAAAAGAAAAUUUGGAUUUAGACAUAAAAUUAUAUAUUGACUAGUUUUACGCUAUUGAGCAUGACUCUCAAUUCGAUCUUUCGAUUGAGUUGAAAGUCCACAAGAAGACUUCUGAUAUAUUGCUCUAUCUUGGGUUAAAAGUUUAGGGUAGGCCAUCAUAGAAUAUCAACAGUCGAACUAAAAAUAACAUGUAGAUUCAUUAAUGAUAUUUUCAUAAAUAAGCUAGAAAAACUAAAAAUUUAGUUUCUUCUUCCCCUCUAAACUACCGGCUAGUGCUAAAACAACUAUAAUAGAAAAAACAAAUUGAGAGCUUACUCAUUGGAACCCUUGAAUCAAGAUUUAAGGCAAGAUAGGUGAGGGAAUAAAUAUUAAACACAUCUCGACUAAGUGCCAUCCUAUAAAUUUGUUUUCAAUUUGCAUUUGAUGAAAAAUAUACAAGGAAUCAUAAAUGAAUUAACUUAAGCAUUGCGAAGGAAAUAUCAAGAUAUCAUAAAUGUGUUGACAAGUUAAAAAGUUUUGAAACAACAAAUUUAAAUGAUAAGGGAUGAAGGAUGAAAAUAUUUAGUUGAUGAGAUUUUUUUUUGGUGUGAAAGACAUAGCAUUGAUAUUUCAAAAAUAAAUGAUGUGUUUGUCAUUUGCAGCCGAUCAAGGUGUAAUACCCAACAAUUAAUAAACUUGUAUCAUUAACAGGCCGAGCUGUUCUAUACAACAAUUGACAUGCAACUUCACGAGCUUAACAAUUGUUUUAUCAAGAUACACAUGGAGUUGCUUCCUUGCAUUGCAUGUUUGAAACUCAAUCUCUAUAAUAUUAUAAAUAGGUUAGCAUUGCAAUAACAAAAAAAAAAUAUGAUAACCAUGACAAUAAUAAUAAUAAUAAUAUGAAUAUGUAUAUUUUUAUUAGUUGAUGGAUCAAUUUGAAAGCAUCAAAGUACUUUUUUGUAAAAAUAAACUAAUAAAUGGUACACCCGAGGCAAAAUUAUAGCCAAUAUAGCUUGUUGGCCAAGGGAAAGUGUCACGGGGGUAUUUUUCGCUACGCGAAUAAACCCGUGCGGCAGCCUAGUCCUUCGCUAGACUCAGCCUUCCCUCACCAAUCUCACUCGUGUUUGCCUAAUAACUAAGCAAGCGGAAUACACAAGCAAGGAUAAGAAUCAUAGUGCACAACAAGCUUUACAGGAACUCUUUCCCAACCUUUAUUAAUCUCAUACACAAAGGAAACUAUACACAAAUCCGUAUGUGUGCUAUGCACAAAGAUUACAUGCUACACUAAGCUACCUCUAACUAGUGUUCUACACAUGUUCUUGCAUGCCCCUACAUGCUGGACAUUCCCAACCGAAUGCCCUUACAAUCUGAACAUUCCCACCUGAAUGCUCUCCCACAACCAAGAGCUACAUCUUGUAUUUAUAGACAAGCAAAGGAGCUGCAAAGGCUCCUCCCCAUUAUCCCCCAUUUUCAGGACCUAGUGGAGCACUACCUCUCUCCCAUGAUCCCAUGUUUUCAGGACAUGGUGGAGCACUACCUCUCACCCAUGAUCCCAUGUUCUGCCUCCCAUGAAGCUGCCACUCUCCUUAUUUUCUGGCUGUCUACUUGGCAGCCCCAGCUGCCAGCUUCUGCUGCGUCAGCUGCUGACUUAGAAGGUCCAUCAUCUAAGCCCCCACGUCCAUGUCAAGUCGCAAGCUCAAAGACUCGCAUAGACCAUUGCAUGCUGCCUGCCGAAUUCAUCUCUGCCUAUGCAAGGCUGCCGCGAUCCAUCGCUGCCGAAUUCUAAGCAGAGUGCCUUCGUUGGCGCGUCCCAGCGCCUAGAGCUCUUAGCCCAUGCCUUGGACAGUCCUUCGCCCAAGUUUUAGAUCGUGCCAAGUCGAGCCCCUGACUUGCACAAGUUUGCUGCGCGCUGCCGAGUCCGCAUCUGCAGGCAAGCUGCCAAUGCGCUGCCGAAUUCGCAUAUGCGUGCUGCCAAUCUCUGCGCUGCCGAAUUCGCAUCUGCGUGCAGGCUGCCCCUGUCUACGCUGCCGAAUUCUGCGAUAGUCCCAAUUCUCGUCAGCCUAUCCUCCUGACGAGGCUUGGACAGUCCCUCGUCCAGCCCAUGUUCGUCAACAAUCUGCGCUGCCGAUUUUCCCUUUGACGAACCUACAGCCGCAUAAAUCUGCGCUGACGAUUUCUCCCACUGAUGGCAUGGCUGCCAGCACCCUUCGGCCUUGUUUUGGCCAGCCUGCCGAAGCGUGCACCUCGUGCACAUUUGACACUGUGACAGAAAGAGUCUUUUCGUUUGUAGUUUUGGAGUAGCAAAUAAUGGCUUAUGAUAAGCAAACGUUGAUUCAUCUUGCUUAAUUCUAUCUAUCUAUUUUCUUCAUAGUUGAGCUUGCAGCACUUAUAAUCAACUGGAAACUUAUAUUCUUGACAUGAGAUCCUGUGAAGAAUUUCCAAAGCUAAAAGAAAUCAAUUAUUCUGCUAAAAAAUUGGUAAAGACAAACUAUUUCAUUAGAAAAUAAAAUAUUUUCAGCGAUGAAAUUGAUUAAAAAUUGAUUACGCAAUCGAAUCAGAGAUGAUUAAUUAAAUGAUUGUUUGAUUAUGAUUACUUAUAUCGAAAAAGAUAUAUUGAGAAGUGAUAAUAAUAAGAAAAUCCUAUAUUUCAACAUAUAAAAUCUUGCAAGGAACAAUUAUAAAUUAUAUAAAAAAGAAUUUCAUGAAUCAUCUUUAUAUAUAUAUAUAUUACAAAUUUAUAAUUUUAAGAUUUUUUAAAUCUUAAUUAAUUUAAUUAUAUACUUAUAUUAUUUUAUACGUUAAAACUGGAGUCCAUCCUUCAUCUUAAUGGCAUAGAUGAAAUAUCUUAUUUAUGCCCAUUUGAAGAUAAUUAAUCCAGACUUAAUCCACUUGAUGAUGCCUUAAUCAUGCUGAUAAAAAAAGAUUAAUACAUUAAGCACAAGUGUUGAUAUAAUCAGUGGCAGAGCCCCGGGGCUGGCAGGACCCGGCCUUGUAAGAAAAUGUUCUUGUCAAUAUUUUUUUAAUAAUAUUUAUAGUUUCAGCUCAAAUAAUAAAAUAACUGAAAUCUUUGCCUUCUAAAAUAUUUUUUUUAAUUUUAUUUUGUGACCCAGCCCUAAAUAUAAUAUAAAUAAUUUAAUAUUGUUAGGAAGUUUUAAACCGGCUUCCAUGAAUUUAAUAUUGCCUAUCAUUUCAGCGUGUCCCGAGGUGAAAACAUUUGGCCUUUUUUUUUAAUUACUGAAAACUUAACAUGUCAUGUGCUAAAUUCUUUUUUUUAUUAUUUACGUGGGGUGUCCGGGCCAGCUUACGCGCACCACGACUAUUCCCCACAGCCCGCUGGACAUCCUGCAAGCCCAGGAGCAGGUAAGGCACCGCGGAGGUGACAGGCGUGCACAUAGAGGGUCGAACCCGGGACGGGAGCGGAACAAGUCACACGAUUGACCACAACAGCUAGACCCUCAAGUGCAUCAUGUGCUAAAUUCUUGAAGAACCCAGUGAAUGCCAAAAUUAAAGAUUCAUUUUGAAAAUUAAUUUGAAAUAAAAAUGAAAAAAUAUAAUUUUUUUUCAAAAAUACUUUUACAUCCAGAAACAAAAAUGACCUUAUGUAAGGGACAUGCACGUAUCCACUUAGAUAUAAAACCCCAGCCAAGAAACCAAAGAAGAGAAGUAGAGAACGGUAGCUCAGGGGAGCGUUUGGCAUGGAAAAAUGAAAGGGCACGGUCGUAUAUAUUCUUUGGAUUUCCACAUUGGUAAUAUAUACAUGAAUUUGUUUUUAUAUUAAGAAUUAUGUUUUAUGAUUGUUUUAAAUAAAAUUUGCUUUAAAUUAAUAUUGUUUUAGUAUUGUUAAAUUAUUUUAAUGUAAUAAUAUAAAAAAUAAUUUUUUAUUUUUUUAAAUAAAAAAUAAUUAUUACCAUACUCACCAUCAAAACUUAACAAGUACGGUAGGUAUGCAUCAAAGAAAAACCAAAGGACGGUAGGUAUGCAUCAAUGCCAUAAAUAGAGUUUGUCUUGUUCAGAAGACUUUGAAAGUGGCUUCGUUGACUCUGCAGACACGAAGAAUAGUCAAAAGUCCUAAAAUUAACUCAUCUUUGCUAUCCACGGCGGCGCAUCAUUAGUGGGUUUGGAAAUUAACAUGGUGCUUCCGAUGAGCCAAGCUAUGUGUUCACAGUGAUUAAUUCGAAUGUGUAAGCAAUAUCGUUGCUAUCACCAUUUGCUUUGAAGGGCUAUUUAAAAAUAUAAUAGUAGUUAUUUCUUUAAAAUAUAUAUUAAAUAUAUAUAUUUUUUUAUUUUUUAAAAAUUAUUUUUGAUAUUAAUACAUCAAAUCAAAACAAAACAAAAAAUAUAAAAAAAUUAAUAUAAAAAAUUUAAUUUUAAAAAAACAUGAUUUUAAAUGCGAUCCCAUACAAUAGAUUAGAUAGAAAAAAAAAGGAAACUGGAAAAAAAACAUUAAUUAAAAUGAUAAAUAGAUAUAAAUAAAUUAUUUUUUCUUCAAAUUAGAAUCGUUAUUUUCUAUACACUAUUGUCGCUAAAAUUAUAAAAUCAUUUUAUAAUUUAUAAUCAUUUUCUAUAUAUUAUUGUUGCUUUUUUUCAUAUAUAUAUAUAUAUAUAAUCCUCACUAUGAAAUUCUGAAAGAGAGAACGGCGGCUAAAAGCAACAACAUUUUAGCUAGAUAAAUAAAGUUUAAUGACUUGAUAUGUUCUUAUAUUAUAAAAUAUUUCUUUGAUCUAUUUCUAUAUAUCUAAUUAAGUUAAUUUUAUUCUUUAAUAUAUAUUAAAUUUAUAAUUUAUCAUUCUUCUCAUGUAAACUCACUCCAAUUUGUCAUGUGUCUGUUACAUGCAAAACUAGAAGAUUAUAUUUAAAAUUUAACAUAUAUUUUAAAUAAAAUUGACUUAAAUAAAGAUAUAAUAGGUCAAUGAUAGAUAAAUAGCCCACUAUCGAAGGAUAUACUACGUUACUAAAAAAAAACCUGUUUAUCAAUUUGUGUGGUUGUCCACUAGGUUUUGUUCUCUCCAUUGAUAUUAAUUAUCAUCAGUAUCUGAAUGGCAUAGCAUAGGUUAAAAACUUAUUAUUAAUAUUUUAUGGAUGUACACAAGAAGAUAAUUAAUCCAUAAUAAUUUUUACGGUUUAACUGUCUAUAUAUUUUUAAAUUUUAUUAUUCGAUUAACAAAUUUAUUUAUACAUACCGCUUCCACGAGUUUUCUUGUCUCUUCCUUUCCUUUAAAGUCCCCGAAUUCCCAUCAUGGCUUAUUAGCUUUCUACUACUAUCAUUCUCUCUCUCACCCUUUCGCAAAAAUCGACAACUUCAUGACUCAGAAAUCUUGACCCCAUCUCCUAACAAUUCAUAGACAGGUAGGGUUCAGCAUUGCACCAUUCUUUUCAAGAACUGGUGGGAUGUCACAGAUUUCAAAUAGAUGGUAGGAAUGGACCUCUCGAUGAUAAGUAGGGCCCAAAUUGCCGCCCAAAGGCCAUUGUAGAUUCACGUUCAGAGAACAUCAGAUGCGAUGCUUAGCCGACAGUAGAGAAGAAUGAUUACUUCUGAAGAGAAUAUCAUUACAAAAUGAUCCCCGGCAAACAGUCAGGGAUGCCAGCACGGCCGGCUUACAUUGUUAAGCUUGUAACAAUCUAUAAUCAACUCGAAACUUAUAUUCUUAACCUGAGAUCUUGUGAAGAAUUUCCAAAGAUAAAAAGGAAUCAAUGAUCUUGCUCAGAAAUUAGUGGAGGCCAAGAAGGUUGUGGUUAGUAAUUUUACCUCGUGUGAAUAUAAUAUAAAUAAUUUAAUAUUGUUAGGAAGUUUAAAACCGGCUUCCAUGAAUCUUCUUGUCUUUUCUUUUCCUUUAAAAGUCUAUAUGGUUGUUCUCUUAAUGCAAUUCAUUGGAUUCUGCUUUCUACGGCCUUCUCUCUCACACCGUCCGCGAAGAUCCACCAUGGCUUCUGCUAUUGUCCUUUUUUUUUCUCUCCCGUCCUUUUGAUACUGUCGUCCUUCCGCAAAAAUCCACCAUGGCUCUGGGGUUGAGUAGAGGUUAAUUAUCUGUGCUGUCAUUGAGGUUUUGGUCGACAGGCUGUCCUCUCCUGAGGUUCUAGGCUUUUUCAAAAGACAAGCUCAAUCAAUGGAAAAGUUGAAGUUAAACAUUAAAUUAUUCUCCUUUUUUAUUUUUUUUCACAAGUAUUUAACCGUUCAAUUUGUAAGAACAUCAGUCUUUUUUAUAAGCCAACAAUUACACUUUUUAAAUUUGCUAUUAUAAUAAUUAUUUAUUUAUGUGAUAAUUUCACCAAUGUUUUUUUGGCCUUGUACCAAAUACCUUCUAAGAGUAAUACCAGAUGAAAUUUUUUAAAAUAUUUUUGAACCUCAUAGUUUCAUAUAUCUAUAUUUUAACCGUUAACUUCAUUUCUCACACGUUUCACUCUUUGACUAUUGAGUUUUGAUCCUUGCAAUUCUCAUAAAAGUACAUUUUGGUUCCUUAAGUUUUUAUUUUUAUUUUUGAUCCUUAUAAUUUCAGGUAUUUAUAUUUAAUUCUAAAAUUUUAUUUUCCUUACAUUUCAAUUCCUUUAUGUUGCGAUUAUAGAGAGAAAGUCGCUAGAAAAAAGAGAGGAAAGAGAAGUAUUUUGGUGAGUUGUAUUUCAAGAACAAAAAAUGUUGAUUUUGGAGAGUUGUAUUUUGAAUGAAACAGACCCAACCAAGGCCCCGAGUUACCCGGGUCCUGGGUUGACCCGUCAAGCGGGGCUGAGUUUGAUAACUAUGAUAACAACCAUGUCAGACCCAAGAUGUUAGGUAUAUCCUUGGAUCUAACGGCCAUAUCAGACCCAAUAGCCUUGGAUCUUACAUGACUACCAGACCUAGGGUCUGGUGAUUGGGUCUCGCAAUCAUGCCAGACCCCAACAUCUUGGACCUGGCUGCCAUGACUAAACUGAAAAAAAAAAAACAAAAUUUUGCAUAGUAACAAAUACAUAGUGAAAAUCCAACGUAUUUUAGUAUAUAAGUAAUAAAUUUAAUAAUUAACAUAUAAUGCAUGAUAAAAUUAGCAUUAAUUUUACCAGUGGCUACUGCAACAAUAAAGAAAAUAUUUUUAGCAUUCAAAUUGGUUAAAAAUCGAUUACAUGAUCAAAUUAGGGGUGAUUUGUUGAAUGAUUGUGUGGUUACUUAUAUCAAUAAAGAUAUAUUUAAAAGUGUUGAUAAUGAAAAGAUCCUACAAUGUUUUCACUAUAUGAAGUCUUGCAAUGAGCGAUUGUGAAUUUUAUAUAUAUAUAUAUAUGCAAUAUAUAUAUAUAUAUAUAUAUAUAUAUAUAUAUAUAGAAUUUUAUGAAAUAUCUUUUUAUAAUAUAUGUAAAUUUUUUAACUUUAUAUUAAAAAAUUAUAAUUUUUGGAUUUUUUAGAUCUUAAUUAAUUAAUGGAAAAGUUGAAGUUAAUUAUUAAAUUAUUCUCUCUUUUUUUCACAACUAUUUAACUAUUUAAUUUGUAAAUACAUCAGUCAUUUUAAAAAACCAACAUUUACACUUUUUAAAUUUGCUCUUAUAAUAAUAAUAAUUAUUUAUGUGAUAAUUUCAACCAUAUUUUUAAGCCUUAUACCAAAUACCUUCUAAGAGUAAUACCAAAUGAAGUUUUUUUUAACAAAACAUAUUUUUGAACCUAGUAGUUUUAUGUGUUUACAUUUUAACCGUAAACUUCAUUUCCCACUCGUUUCACUAUCUGAAUAUUGAGUUUUGGUCCUUGAAAUUCUCAUAAAAGUUCAUUUGGGUUCCUAAAAUUUUUUCUUUUAUCCUCGUAGUUUUAGCUAUUUAUUUAAUUCUAAAACUUUAUUUUCCUCACAUUUUAAUUCCUUGAUGUUACGAGUAUAAAGAGAAAGUCGUUAGAUAAAAAGAAAAGUAUUUUGGUGAGUUGUAUUUCAAGAACAAAAAAUACUGAUCUUAGUGUCCAUAAAUUUUUCUUUAAACACAUAACAAAAAAAAUUAAUAUUUUUUAAAAGUGGCCCUAAACAAAAUAAAAAAGAGGAGGUUUUAUCUAUUUUUUUGGUUUUUUAACCAGUCACAUUACUUUAUUUCUUUUCAAUUGCAUUCUUUAAAGCUAUAUUUUCAUGGCAACCAUAGCUAUCAAACCCAGCCUAGGAGUUAACCCGACUAAUGGGCUAAGUCCUGGUUUACACGAGUUGACUCGGGUCAACCAAGAAAAAUUUUAAAAAAAUAUUUGAGAUUUUAAUAUUUUAUAUGAAAAAAUAAGAAAUAAUCCAUAUGGAUAUAUGCUAUACAUGUUGUAAACAAUUAAAUUUAAAAGAUUAUUUCAAAAUGUUUUUUAUUCCACAUUGAAAAGAUACUAUCUUAUUCUUUUAAGUUAAAGUAUUUAAAUAAAAAAGGUUUUCUAUCCUACAUUGAAUAACCAUUAACUUUUUUAUUGUGAAUAUAGAAUAAAUAUAUAGACACAUACACACACUAAAAGACUUCAAAUUUUACAUUACAAAAAUAAAAUAUUUUUCUAAUAUUUAUAUACUGAACUUGAAAUGAGUUAGAAAAAAACUGAAAAUAUAUAAAAAAAAUCUCUAAAUAAAAGAAAAACACAUUUAAUAAAAACAGAAUCUCUAUCAAGUUUUUAUUGGGCCACCCGAGUUCCAGGUUUACCCAACAUGUUAACCAGUUUACUCCAGGCCACUUACACGUCCAAAUAUUGAAUGAAACAGACCACCAAGGCUUAUCAUUCUCUCUCACAUAAUCACUCUAUCACCCUUUCGCAAAAAUCCACCAAGGCUCCUGCUUUCCACUACUCCUUUUCUCUCACAUAUUCCGACCCUCACCCCUUCUGCAAAAAUCCACCAUGGCUCUGGAGUUGAUCGGAGGAUCAAUUCUCUCUGCUCUCGUUGAGGUACUGGUCGACAGGUUGGCCUCUCGUGAGGUUCUGGACUCCUUCAAAAGCCACAAACUCGAUGAUGGUCUUCUGGAAAAGCUGAAUGAAACACUGAAUACUGUCAACGGACUACUCGACGAUGCGGAGGAGAAGCAGAUUACAAAGCGUGCUGUGAAGAACUGGCUUAAUGAUGUUAAACACGCUGUGUAUGAAGCUGAGGACAUAUUGGAUGAGAUUAAUUAUGAAUAUCUACGAUCCAAGGACAUUGAUACCCCUCGACCUGACAGCAAUUGGGUAAGCAUAAGUUCUUGCACCUAUAGACCUUGCUUCCUCAUAAAAUGUUUUUUUUUUUUUUUUAACUUUCAUGUAUGCUCUCAAGUCUGUAAACGAGGAAAAAAUAAUUUUAGGGAUGGUUGUUGUCUUUCUGUGAGUUUUAAUUAAAGAGUAUUCAUUGUUAUGCAUGCAACUAAUAUCAUUGGCUUUUGGUGUCUAUGGCGUAAUUAUGCUUGCAAAUUCUCAUUUAUUAAUUAGUUUUCUAGACAUUUAAUCACUAUCUUUUUAAAACUUGAAUUUUACUGCGUGCAUUAAGUUAGCAUCAACAAUUGUAAAUUCUUGAAAAAGAUCUGUAGAAAGAAAACUUAUUAAUUCUCUAGAUGUAAAAAUCUUAAUGUUUAUGUUUUGAUAUUAAAAAAUUAUAAUGUUAUCCUGAAUUCUAUCUCAUAUAUUUAGUCCACCAUUGCAGGCAAGGAAUCUGGUUCCAUUUCUAAAUCCAGCUAAUAGAAGGAUGAAAGAGAUUGGAGCAGAGUUACAAAAGAUCUAUGAGAAGCUUGAACGUUUACUUAAACACAAGGGUGAUCUGCGCCACAUAGAAGGUACUGGUGGAUGGAGACCAUUGUCAGAGAAAACAACUCCACUGGUUAAUGAACCUGAUGUAUAUGGAAGGGACGCUGAUAAGGAAGCCAUAAUGGAGCACUUGCUGACACAACACAAGACAGAUGGCCCAAAUUUAGUUGUGGUUCCUAUUGUGGGCAUGGGCGGGAUUGGUAAAACCACUCUUGCUCAGCUUAUCUACAACGACGAAAAGGUAGAUCAGUUCUUCCAACUCAAGGCCUGGGUCUGGGCUUCUCAACAAUUUGACGUCACCAGGAUUAUUGAGGAUAUUAUUAAGAAGAUCAAAGCAAGGACUUGCCCCACCAAAGAACCAGAUGAAUCCAAAGAACCAAAUGAAUCUCUAAUGGAGGCAGUGAAAGGGAAAAAACUUCUACUUGUUCUAGAUGACGCGUGGAACAUCGAGUACAAUGAAUGGGAUAAAUUACUGCUACCUUUGCGGUAUGUGGAGCACGGAAGUAAGAUUGUCGUGACAACACGGGAAGAAGAUGUAGCAAAAGUCACGCAGACUGUCAUCCCCUCUCACCGCUUGAAUGUAAUAAGCGAUGAAGAUUGCUGGAAGUUGUUUGCAAGGGAUGCAUUUAGUGGUGUAAAUUCUGGAGCAGUCUCACACUUGGAAGAAUUUGGCAGAGUAAUAGUGAGAAAGUGCAAAGGUUUACCGCUGGCAGCGAAAACUCUUGGGGGUCUUUUGCACUCCGUAGGAGAUGUCAAGCAAUGGGAGAAGAUAUCCAAUAGCAGUAUGUGGGGUUCGUCGAAUGAAAACAUCCCUCCAGCUCUAACAUUGAGCUAUUAUUAUCUCCCUUCACACCUGAAACGUUGUUUUGCUUAUUGUGCAAUAUUUCCCAAGGAUUAUGUAUUCAAGAAGGAUAGAUUAAUCACUGAAUGGAUGGCACAUGGUUUUCUAGUCCAGCCCAGAGGCGUUGAGGAGAUGGAAGAUAUAGGUGAAAAAUACUUUAAUGAUCUUGUCUCCAGGUCACUUUUCCAGCAAUCCACUGGUGAUUCUUUUUUCAGCAUGCAUGACCUCAUAAGUGAUUUAGCUGAAUACGUGUCAGGAGAAUUUUGCUUCAAGCUUGGUAUUAAUGAAUCGGGCUCUGGGUUGGAGAGUGAACAUUCAUGCUCGCUUCCAGAAAGGACUCGUUAUUUAUCAAUCACUUCAGCGGCAGCAUAUGGCGGAGGACUUCGGAUUUUUCGUAGCAUUCAUGGAGUCCAACAUUUGCGCGCCUUGUUUCCACUGAAGUUUUUUGUGGAAGUUGAUAUUGAGGCACUGAAUGACAUUUUGCCAAAUCUUAAGCGCUUGCGAAUGCUAUCUUUAUGUCAUCCAAAAGAUAUUUCUUCUCAGUUGCUCAAUUCCAUUGGCAACUUAAAACAUUUGCGGCACUUGGACCUUUCUCAGACAGUAUUUAAACGGUUGCCCGAAAGUGUGUGCACCUUGUACUAUUUGCAAAGCUUAUUGUUAAAGGAGUGCCGACUUCUCAUGGAGUUGCCAUCCAACCUUUCCAACUUGGUCGACUUACAACAUCUUGAUAUUGAAGGGACAAAUUUGAAAGAGAUGCCACCAAAAAUGGGGAAACUCACGAAGCUUCGAAUUUUGGAAUCUUACAUCGUGGGAAAAGAUAGCGGGUCUAGCAUGAAAGAGUUGGGGAAGCUCUCACACAUAAGGAAAAAACUUUCUAUUCGGAAUCUCAGAGAUGUUGCAAAUGCUCAAGAUGCUUUGGAUGCCAAUUUGAAGGGUAAGAAGAAGAUUGAGGAGUUGGGGUUGACGUGGGAUGGCAGUACGGAUGACACACCACACGAGAGAGAUGUACUUGAGAAAUUGGAGCCUUCUGAAGAUGUGAAAGAGCUUGCCAUUAUUGGUUACGGGGGUACAACGUUUCCAGGCUGGCUUGGAAACUCUUCUUUCUCAAAUAUGGUAACGUUGCUUCUUUCUGGAUGUACGAACUGCAUCCUCUUACCACCAUUGGGGCAGCUGCCAUCUCUAGAAGAGCUCGAAAUUGAAGGAUUUGAUGAAGUCGUGGCAGUUGGUUCUGAGUUCUAUGGAAGUGACCCUCCAAUGGAGAAGCCAUUUAAAUCCCUCAUAACAUUAAAGUUUGAGGGGAUGAAGAAAUGGCAGGAAUGGAAUACAGAUGUAGCUGGUGCUUUCCCUCAUCUUGAAAAUCUCUUGAUAGCAGGUUGUCCAGAGUUAACAAAUGGCUUGCCUAAUCACCUUCCUUCUUUAUUGAUACUUGAGAUUCGAGCGUGUCCGCAGCUUGUGGUUUCAAUUCCAGAGGCUCCCCUGCUCAGAGAAAUCAAUGUAUCUGAGGGAGAUGAAAGUCGUAUAACUGGUCGUACGUCGUCCUAUUAUUGCUACUACUUACCAGAUCAACCACCCAAGUGCCUUCAUUUUAGACGAGAUCCCCAGCUAACGGGAAUGGAGCAAAUGAGUCAUUUGGAUCCCCGUCUUUUCACUGAUAUCAAAAUCGAGGAAUGUAGUUCAUUUAAGUGCUGCCAGCUAGACCUUUUACCCCAGGUCACCACACUUACCAUUGAACAUUGUCUCAAUCUGGAAUCCCUAUGUAUAGGCGAGAGACCUGUCCCUGCUCUCUGUCGUCUGACAAUCAGUCACUGUCCUAAUUUGGUGUCUUUCCCCAAAGGAGGACUAGCUGCCCCGGAUUUGACAAGCCUUGUGUUAGAGGGUUGCUUAUAUUUGAAGUCGUUGCCGGAAAACAUGCGUUCCCUCCUACCUUCCCUACAGGAUUUGCAAUUGAUCUCACUUCCAGAAGUUGAUUCGUUUCCUGAAGGAGGUUUACCCUCCAAUUUAAACACACUUUGCAUUGAAGAUUGUAUCAAACUCAAGGUAUGUGGUUUGCAAGCACUCUCUUCUCUUUCAUACUUCGAAUUUAGUGGGAACGAUGUGGAGUCUUUUGACGAGGAGACGUUGCCCUCUACUCUCACAACCCUUAAAAUCAAACGUCUGGGAAACCUGAAGUCUCUGGACUAUAAGGGGCUUCAUCACCUCACCUCUCUUCAGGGAUUGGGUAUCGAGGGUUGCCCUAAGCUUGAGUCCAUAUCAGAGCAGGCGCUUCCCUCCUCCCUUGAAUACCUUUAUCUCAGAAAUCUAGAAUCUCUGGACUACGUGGGGCUUCAUCACCUCACCUCUCUUGACACAUUGAAGAUCAAGAGUUGCCCUAAACUUGAGUUCGUAUCAGAACAGGUGCUGCCCUCCUCCCUUGAAUACCAGGGGCUUCAUCACCUCACCUCUCUUAGAAAUUUGAGUAUCGAGAGUUACCCUAAACUUGAGCACAUAUCAGAACAGGGGCUGCCCUCCUCCCUUGAAUGCCUUCAUCUCUGUAAACUGGAAUCUUUGGACUACAUUGGGCUUCAGCACCUCACCUCUCUUCACAAAAUGAAGAUCGGGAGUUGUCCUAAACUUGAAUCGUUGCAGGGGCUGCCUUCCUCCCUUGAAUUCCUUCAGUUAUGGGAUCAGCAAGACCGGGACUAUAAGGAACUUCGGCACCUCACCUCUCUUCGCAAAAUGAAUAUAAGAAGGAGCCUUAAGCUUGAGUACCUUCAAGAAGGCACACUUCCCUCCUCCCUUAAAGACCUUGAAAUCCAGGAUUUGGAAGAUCUGGAUUAUAAGGGGUUUCGGCACCUCAGCUCUCUUCGUAAAUUACAUAUCUGUAAUUCUCCUAAGCUCGAGUUCGUGCCAGGAGAGGAGCUGCCCUCCUCCCUUGUAUCUCUUAAAAUAUCAGGUCUGAUAAAUCUGAAAUCUGUAAUGAGGCUUCAGCACCUCACCUCUCUUCGCAAAUUGAUUAUCCGGGAUUGUCCUAAGCUUGAGUACUUGCCAACAGAAGAGCUGUCCUUACCCCUAGUUCCUGAUAUUAGUGGUUGUCCUUUUGUAGAACCGAGUUGUUGCAUUAGUUAGACCAUGUAUCUUACCCGCG
rnacentral:lncRNA from 1 species